GGGUUAGCGCGAAUGUGUGGAACGAUACGAUUGCCGCCAGCCACACAAUUCGCGAUAUCACGAAUCAUUUGACGAAUCCGGCAGUGGAGCCGAACCAACUGCGAACUGUUGGAAUAGCGAACUACAAAUAAGGAUUUACCUUUCAC